AAUUUAUACGACCGAAUUUCCGUGCGCAUGCGUCAAACAUUACAGCUCCAUGUGACCAGAGAGAAACCUAAGAGCGACCACCGGCCUGAUCUCAGUGGCCAGGGAUCUUAUUCUUGAGAUAUUUGUGUUCGCAGGAUGCAACGAAUGGUCCAUACUAGACGUUUCAAGAGAAACGUGUACGUUUUAGUAGUGAAAAAGAAGUAAUGUACGAAAGAAGUAAAGAACGAAUGUCGACAUAUACAAAUAUCGGAACGCAGUCAUUGUAGAGAAAUGUACAAUUUCUACAUAAAAAUGGAUUUAGAUGAUGUGAUAAUAAAUGCGCCGAUUUUGGACGCUUUAGAAAGUAUAGACAUUCCAGAAAGAAGAAGACGAAGAUUUUAUAUUCAGGAGGAUCCUUUCGAAUUAAAUAAUAAAGAAUUUGUACAAUUAUCCAGGUUAAGUAAAGCUGCUGCUAGAAAUUUAAAAGAAAUUGUCGAACUGCAUUUGAUUCUUCCAACGAGAAUAUCUGUGAUAAAUUCUACAACAAAGGUUAUAACGGCAUUGCGAUUUUUUGCAACUGGAUCUUACCAAAUGAACAUUGGUAAAAAUAUAUUCAUGAGUGUUAGCCAGUCAACAGUCUCCCACAGCAUCCAUGAAAUUAUAGAUUAUAACAAGAUCAGAUAUUAUGAAUGAGUGGAUUAAGUUUCCUAGUACAUUAGCAGAAUUGAACAAAUUGCGAACACAAUUCUACAGGAAAUUUGAAUUCCCAGGUACAAUAAAAAGGUGUAUUGACUGUACCCAUAUCGCUAUUGUCGCACCAACGGCGAAUGAUAACGUUUACCCAGAACAUAUAUAUGUUAACAGAAAAGGAUACCAUUCAAUUAAUACUUAAUUGAUAUGUGACUGGCAGAUGAAAAUUAUGCACAUUAAUGGACGUUAUUCUGGAAGCGCUCAUGAUACAUUUAUAUGGAACAACUCUAAUGCAAAAAACGCUAUAAUUAAUCUUUAUAGGCGCUAUCCACACAAAAAUUUCCAUUUAGUAGGUGAUUCGGAGUAUUCUCUCAGGCCUUGGAUGAUGACACCUAUAUUAGGUGCUGUCGAAGGUACUCCAAAAGCCGCAUAUAAUAAAAAAUAAAUAAGAUGUCGUGCAUUAAUUAAGAACAAUGCAAUGGACUUUAAAAGAUACGAUUUACAUGUCUACUGAAGCACAGAAUAUUGCAUUACUCUCCUCCAACAGCAUCUAAAAUUAUAUAUACAUGUGCUAUAUUAUAUAAUAUGUCCAUUACUGAAAAUGUGCUAUUAUAUUUAAACGAUGAUAAUGAAGAUAUAGACUUUGGUGACUUUUAUAGAUAUAGACUUUUAUAUAACGAAAAUCAUGUUGAAAAUGAAGAAAACGUACCUGAAA